CUGCCUGGUAAUUUUCCACUUGUUCGUGUCCCAGAUACUCAGUGCUUGCUGAAAACUGAGUUGCGACAAAGAAGAUCUCAUGAAGAAGACCUUGAAUUUUAAAGAUGUUCUGUCUGUAUAAAUAUUCUAAAUAUAGCUGGCUGUAAAAUAGUAUGUGCUCAGUGUUCGAAUAGAUGUCCAAUUUUUUUUUGCCUACAGACAACGUCAAGAAGCAGCAAUCACCUCAUCAUCUCUGGAUGAGGAACGGUACAGUGGGGUCCAUUUACGGGAGUUUUACAGCGGAAAGUUCCGGGCUGUGUUUGUCAGACCCCCCCUCAGGGUCUGCUGUCCACAGGCCUGAUUCUGGGGUAAACGGAGUGAAAUGUCCUUGCGAUGAUGCACAGAGGAGGAGGUGCCACCUCCAAACCCUCCAACCAACCCUAGAGGAUGGACUGAACUGCACUGCUUCGUGGAUCUUUAUCAGGAACAUACAAAACACACCGUGGGGGUUGCCAGGACAACAGGACAUAUUCCUGCAGGAGCUGGCUGUCGUGGAAACCACAGUAUAUGAAGUCCUGCAGGAAAUUUCUGCGGCUUCACAGACCACACAUCCCAGAGGACAUCUCAGAGUCCUCUCCCUAACACAGGAACUAUUUGUCUACUGCUAACCUGUAAACAACAAGCACAUUACAGUUUAGCUGUACCCCACACCUUCACUACAUCAGUGUGCCAUGAAUGAAAGGCCUCUGAGUGUUUGGGGGUUUAUAAUGUUUCUGUGUUAGUUAGUGAAUUAACACUAUGCUUUCAUAGUUCUCUAAUUGUGUGUUUAGAAUGGAAAUGUUUACAUGUAAAUGUUAAGUGCUUCCAAUGAAUAAUUUACUGUGAUGAAUACAAAAAAUUGCAUAUAAUUAUGUAGAUUUAUGUAUAAUUAUGUUUGACUCCUACUCUCACAGUAUGUGUUGCACAGAUGUGUGCAUAGAUGUGUAAAUAGUUUACGGACUGCUUCUGUAAAUCUCCAUGUGAGUAACGGUUACGCAUGAAGGGAAUGCAAUGUAGUGGAUCAUGCACAAUAUUAAUAUAGAAUUUUAUCGAAAAGAUGUGGACAGUAGUCUUAGGUUUGAGUCUUCAUGCACUCAGUAAAUAACAGCACAUUUUAUAAUGACUGAUUAAACUGAAAAAUUUUGUUACUUGAUGAGAACAUAUUAAAAUCAUUCAAACUAA